CUGCAACUCCCUGAACUUCUAUUUGCCCGCUCAUCUGACCCAGGUGGGAACCACUCACAUCUUGGAGCUUCCAGGUUUAGAUGUUAUCUCCGCUCAGAACGGUUUCCUCCUAAAUUAAACAGACUGGUGAAGAUAUGAGAAGCAUCUUGAGCCAAAUAUAUACAGAUUUGUACACAGAAGCCUUCUGAUCCCCGAGCAACCCACAGUAAAAUCUUGUCACAACGGAAUAAUAAACAUUUAUCAUAUUUUUCAACUUUCCAAAGUUCGUAGUGUACCAAGACAAUUGCAACUGGCUCUCUUCGUUUGUCUCUCAGAUGCAGAAAGCAACAGCACAAUAUUGUGCCAUAAUGAAUUCUUCAUCAUGAUUGAAAAAGUGCAAAAGGGAAACAUGUUUAAUAGGCUGAAAAAUAAGAAAGACCAGCUAAUGGAAGAGAGCCACCAGAUCUCGUUCUUAGAGAGAAGCACUCUUGCAUCAUACCGUCUGUUGGGAGGGAGAGAUGUGGAGACACAACGGAACGACGUUGAAUGUUUUCUGUGUGUGUGUGCAUGCGCACACGUGAGUGAGACCCGAU
rnacentral:lncRNA from 1 species